AACGAACGCUGGCGGCAUGCCUAACACAUGCAAGUCGAACGAGACCUCCGGGUCUAGUGGCGCACGGGUGCGUAACGCGUGGGAACCUGCCCUUAGGUUCGGUAUAACUCCCCGCAAGGGGUGCUAAUACCGCUUAAUGUCUUCGGACCAAAGAUUUAUCGCGUUUGGAUGGGCCCGCGUUUGAUUAGCUAGUUGGUAGGGUAAAAGCCUACCAAGGCGACGAUCCAUAGCUGGUCUGAGAGGAUGAUCAGCCACACUGGGACUGAGACACGGCCCAGACUCCUACGGGAGGCAGCAGUGGGGAAUAUUGGACGAUGGGCGAAAGCCUGAUCCAGCAAUGCCGGGUGAGUGAUGAAGGCGUUAGGGUUGUAAAGCUCUUUUACACGGGAUGAUAAUGACAGUACCGGGAGAAUAAGCUCCGGCUAACUCCGUG
rnacentral:rRNA from 1 species